UUGUUUUAAAUGUAGGUCAGAUUUGGGCGUUGAAAAAUCUCACAAACAUACCCAAACUGUUAUCUUGUAAUCAGUGAUAUUUUAGGGUUCUAUUACUUAAUAAACUUUCGCCAAGGGAAUUUCAUUUUACACGACUUAAUUAGCUUGGCGGGGCUAGGCGUGGCGGAUAUCGUCGUAUCCGGGUAUAUCCGCUUAUAUCCGAGCCGAGGGGCGGAUGAACCGGAUCACCAACAGGUGGGGGAUGAGCCUCGAUAGAUCCGCCCACUCACCACGUGCGUCCAAUUCGGAUUUGGAUUUGUUUUGGAUUUUCAAACAAAGUUCUGAGCGCUAUGUGGACCUCUCUACGUGAAACUGAGAGUACUCGAGUAAGAUAAGAAGUUUUCGUAAGAAUAAAAAAUAAUUAGAGCAUCGUCGGAGUAUAACUACAUUGAGCUGAAGAAGCCAAAAGAAUAAUGAAAUUAUUUCACGUAGAACGAACGAAGAACCUUGAAUUUCAAGUAAAAAAAGCAUAAAUAUAAUUAUUGCCCCAAAUUCAAUGUAAAAUUUUCAUAUAUCAUACAAAAACAUACAAAAAAAAAAGAAA